GUCUCAAAGAUUAAGCCAUGCAUGUCUAAGUAUAAGCAAUUAUACCGUGAAACUGCGAAUGGCUCAUUAAAUCAGUUAUCGUUUAUUUGAUAGUACCUUACUACUUGGAUAACCGUGGUAAUUCUAGAGCUAAUACAUGCUGAAAACCCCGACUUCGGGAGGGGUGUAUUUAUUAGAUAAAAAACCAACGCCCUUCGGGGCUUCUUGGUGAUUCAUGAUAACUUCACGGAUCGCAUGGCCUUGCGCCGGCGACGGUUCAUUCAAAUUUCUGCCCUAUCAACUUUCGAUGGUAAGGUAUUGGCUUACCAUGGUUUCAACGGGUAACGGGGAAUUAGGGUUCGAUUCCGGAGAGGGAGCCUGAGAAACGGCUACCACAUCCAAGGAAGGCAGCAGGCGCGCAAAUUACCCAAUCCCGACACGGGGAGGUAGUGACAAUAAAUACUGAUACAGGGCUCUUUUGGGUCUUGUAAUUGGAAUGAGUACAAUUUAAACCUCUUAACGAGGAACAAUUGGAGGGCAAGUCUGGUGCCAGCAGCCGCGGUAAUUCCAGCUCCAAUAGCGUAUAUUAAAGUUGUUGCAGUUAAAAAGCUCGUAGUUGAAACUUGGGCCUGGCUGGCAGGUCCGCCUCACCGCGUGUACUUGUCCGGCCGGGCCUUUCCUUCUGGAGAACCUCAUGCCCUUCACUGGGUGUGUUGGGGAACCAGGACUUUUACUUUGAAAAAAUUAGAGUGUUCAAAGCAGGCCUUUGCUCGAAUACGUUAGCAUGGAAUAAUAGAAUAGGACGUGCGGUCCUAUUUUGUUGGUUUCUAGGACCGCCGUAAUGAUUAAUAGGGACAGUCGGGGGCAUCAGUAUUCAAUUGUCAGAGGUGAAAUUCUUGGAUUUAUUGAAGACUAACUACUGCGAAAGCAUUUGCCAAGGAUGUUUUCAUUAAUCAGUGAACGAAAGUUAGGGGAUCGAAGACGAUCAGAUACCGUCGUAGUCUUAACCGUAAACUAUGCCGACUAGGGAUCGGGCGAUGUUCUUUUUCUGACUCGCUCGGCACCUUACGAGAAAUCAAAGUUUUUGGGUUCUGGGGGGAGUAUGGUCGCAAGGCUGAAAC
rnacentral:rRNA from 1 species